CACCUGAUCCCAUGCCGAACUCAGAAGUGAAACGUAAUAGCGCCGAUGGUAGUGUGGGGUUUCCCCAUGUGAGAGUAGAACAUCGCCAGGC
rnacentral:rRNA from 1 species